rnacentral:rRNA from 1 species
GGAAACGCCCGGACCCAUCCCGAACCCGGAAGCUAAGCCAGCCAGCGCCGAUGAUACUACCCAACAGGGUGGAAAAGUAGGACACCGCCGAAC